AGAAUCAACGCUGGCGGCGUGCCUAACACAUGCAAGUCGAACGAGAAAGUGGAGCAAUCCAUGAGUAAAGUGGCGCACGGGUGAGUAACACGUGACUAACCUACCCUUGAGUGGGGGAUAACCUCGGGAAACCGGGCUAAUACCGCAUAAUAUCGAGAGAUCAAAGGAGCAAUUCGCUUAAGGAGGGGGUCGCGGCUGAUUAGCUAGUUGGUAGGGUAAUGGCCUACCAAGGCUAUGAUCAGUA
rnacentral:rRNA from 1 species